rnacentral:rRNA from 1 species
GACGAACGCUGGCGGCGUGCUUAACACAUGCAAGUCGAACGGAAAGGCCCUGCUUUUGUGGGGUGCUCGAGUGGCGAACGGGUGAGUAACACGUGAGUAACCUGCCCUUGACUUUGGGAUAACUUCAGGAAACUGGGGCUAAUACCGGAUAGGAGCUCCUGCUGCAUGGUGGGGGUUGGAAAGUUUCGGCGGUUGGGGAUGGACUCGCGGCUUAUCAGCUUGUUGGUGGGGUAGUGGCUUACCAAGGCUUUGACGGGUAGCCGGCCUGAGAGGGUGAUCGGCCACAUUGGGACGGAGAUACGGCCCAGACUCCUACGGGAGGCAGCAGUGGGGAAUAUUGCACAAUGGGCGGAAGCCUGAUGCAGCAACGCCGCGUGCGGGAUGACGGCCUUCGGGUUGUAAACCGCUUUCGCCUGUGACGAAGCGUGAGUGACGGUAAUGGGUAAAGAAGCACCGGCUAACUACGUG